rnacentral:rRNA from 1 species
AUACGGAGGGUGCAAGCGUUAAUCGGAAUUACUGGGCGUAAAGGGCGCGUAGACGGUCUAUCAAGUCAGGUGUGAAAUCCCACGGCUCAACCGUGGAGGUGCAUCUGAAACUGAUAGACUUGAGUAUGCGAGAGGAAAGUGGAAUUCCCGGUGUAGAGGUGAAAUUCGUAGAUAUCGGGAGGAACACCAGUGGCGAAGGCGACUUUCUGGACCAAUACUGACGCUGAGGCGCGAAAGCGUGGGGAGCAAACAGGAUUAGAUACCCCAGUAGUCC